rnacentral:miRNA from 1 species
UCUCCUGCAGGUGUUUUCUGACCCGAGUGUGGUACUGCAGUACCAGCAGUGGGGAGGCAGAGGCAGGAGGAU